CGGUAAUACGGAGGAUCCGAGCGUUAUCCGGAUUUAUUGGGUUUAAAGGGUGCGUAGGCGGAAUGGUAAGUCAGGGGUGAAAUACUGCAGCUCAACUGUAGGAUUGCCUUUGAUACUGUCAUUCUUGAGUACAGUUGAGGUAGGCGGAAUGUGGUGUGUAGCGGUGAAAUGCUUAGAUAUACCACAGAACACCGAUUGCGAAGGCAGCUUACUAAGCUGAAACUGACGCUGAUGCACGAAAGCGUGGGUAUCAAACAGGAUUAGAUACCCUGGUAGUCCACGCUGUAAACGAUGAUUACUGGUUGUUUGCGAUACACAGCAAGUGACUGAGCGAAAGCAUUAAGUAAUCCACCUGGGGAGUACGUCGGCAACGAUGAA
rnacentral:rRNA from 1 species